rnacentral:rRNA from 1 species
UGGGGAAUAUUGCACAAUGGAGGGAACUCUGAUGCAGCGACGCCGCGUGAACGAAGAAGUCUUUCGAGUCGUAAAGUUCUUUUAUAUGGGAAUAUAAUGACGGUACCAUAAGAAAAAGCUCCGGCUAACUACGUGCCAGCAGCCGCGGUAAUACGCAGGGGGCUAGCGUUGUCCGGAAUCACUGGGCGUAAAGGGUUCGCAGGCGGAAAUGCAAGUCAGGUGUAAAAGGCAGUAGCUUAACUACUGUAAGCAUUUGAAACUGCAUAUCUUGAGAAGAGUAGAGGUAAGUGGAAUUUUUAGUGUAGCGGUGAAAUGCGUAGAUAUUAAAAAGAAUACCGGUGGCGAAGACGACUUACUGAGCUCAUUCUGACGCUGAGGAACAAAAGCGUGGGUAGGAAACAGG